GAUCACUAUCCUCUUUCCAUCCUAAAAAAAAGCCCAUUAGCUAAAACUCAAGGUUCAACAAAAUACAUUUUAGCAAAAUAACCUUACUAAAGCUUCUUCUUAACUACUUCCGAUUUAUUUUUGGUUUCCAUCGAGAAACCCGUAGAUGGGGAAUGGGACUUAUUAAUCCCGUUCAAGUUGUGAAUUGUCAGGGGUUUUCCCACCCUAACAAUUCCAAUUGAUCAUCUUCAUUGGGUGGAGUCGGGCCACUCAAGGUUGG
rnacentral:misc_RNA from 1 species